rnacentral:lncRNA from 1 species
CAGGAGAGUGGAGAACAGUUCUAUGUCAGGAAACUAUUUGCUUUUCUCUUCCUUGAUGGAUCUUUAUUCCAGGUGGUCUGGCUAGCCGAAGUCUUCUUUAAAUGUUCUUUUCUUUCCAGGGUGCAUCAUAUAAUGCAGUUUUUAGUAAACCAGGGCAUCUAGACAUACUUUCCUUCCCUCUGGCCUGGACAUUCCUGGUAGAGGAGUCCCCUCCCUUGAUAAGAAAGUAGCAGCCAAAUUCUGUCCUCCUAAUGCCAGCAUUUUCAUUUCAGAAGAAACAAAUGAAACCAAGGGUCAGGACAAAAUCUGGCCCCAAGCCUCAUCAGCCCAGCUAGAUGCAGAAGAAGUGCUGCCGCCCUGUGUGCGAGCUCUGGAGGUCAGAAAGUGGAACUGGCCACUGGUGAUACUCCCUAGCCUGGCUCACUUCUCCCAGCCCUUGGGUCAGUCAUCUUAUGCAUGCCGGUCACUGAUUAGAUGGGAAAAUUUCCCUCUGGAGACAACGAGGAGGCCUGGUCACACUGGAGCAGGUUUCCCCAUUGGCCCCAGUCACCUGGUCAUUUGCUUAUAUUUGCUCUUGCCCCCAGUCUCCUUCCAAUUUUCUCUCAGAAGCCUCAUCCCCAUCCUCGCUCACAGAAGGAGUGAUAGAGUUCCCCAGGACUUCCUCUUCAGAGGUCCAGUCCACCAACCAUGGAGCUGACCCGGAGCUGAUAGCAGCAGGACCUGUUUCACUUGAUGCUCCCCCGACAUCUCUUGAUAUAGAUAAAAAUCAAAGAGAAAACCCAGUCGGGGCCAGUCUUUGGCAGAGUAGAUCAUCUCCAGGAACUGAUUCUAGCUCUGUCAAAGUCCUCACUCUCGGUGUGGAACUGUAGAACUCAUCACAAUGGCUGCAGUGAAUGCUAAU